rnacentral:rRNA from 1 species
UACAGAGGGUGCGAGCGUUGUUCGGAAUUAUUGGGCGUAAAGCGCUUGUAGGUGGCUUGUUAAGUCGCGUGUGAAAGCUCCAGGCUCAACCUGGAAAGUGCGCGCGAAACUGGCGAGCUUGAGUGCCGGAGAGGGUCGCGGAAUUCCCAGUGUAGAGGUGAAAUUCGUAGAUAUUGGGAGGAACACCAGAGGCGAAGGCGGCGACCUGGAAGGUAACUGACACUGAGCAGCGAAAGCGUGGGGAGCAAACAGG